rnacentral:rRNA from 1 species
CACGUGGGUAACCUGCCCAAGAGAUCGGGAUAACACCUGGAAACAGGUGCUAAUACCGGAUAACAACAGAUGAUGCCUAUCAACUGUUUAAAAGAUGGUUCUGCUAUCACUCUUGGAUGGACCUGCGGUGCAUUAGCUAGUUGGUAGGGUAACGGCCUACCAAGGCGAUGAUGCAUAGCCGAGUUGAGAGACUGAUCGGCCACAUUGGGACUGAGACACGGCCCAAACUCCUACGGGAGGCAGCAGGU